CUUAAGCCAUGCAAGUCUCAGUACGAGCUGACUUAAAGUGAAACCGCAAAAGGCUCAGUAAACCGGUCAUAGUUUACCGGAUAUAUGCCACUCACGUGGAUAACUGUGGUAAUUCUAGAGCUAAUACAUGCAACCAAGUCCCGACCAGCGAUGGAAAGGACGCUUUUAUUGGAUCAAAACCAUUCGCCCGGCUCGCCCGGGCGUCUGCUUGAUGACUCUAGAUAACACCACAGAUCGCACGGUCACAGUACCGGCGACGUAUCCGUCAAAUGUCUGACUUAUCAGCUGUCGAUGGUAGACUCUGUGUCUACCAUGGCGCUCACGGGUAACGGGGAAUCAGGGUUCGAUUCCGGAGAGGGAGCCUGAGAAACGGCUACCACAUCCAAGGAAGGCAGCAGGCACGCAAAUUACCCACUCCCGGCACGGGGAGGUAGUGACAAAAAAUAACGAUACGGGACUCAUCCGAGGCCCCGUAAUCGGAAUGAGAACACCCUAAAUCCUUUAACGAGGAUCUAUUGGAGGGCAAGUCUGGUGCCAGCAGCCGCGGUAAUUCCAGCUCCAAUAGCGUAUAUUAAAGUUGUUGCGGUUAAAAAGCUCGUAGUUGGUUCUGCGUGCCACGCUGUCGGUUCACCGCCUGUCGGUGCAACUGGCAUGCCGUGGCAUGUCCUGUCGGUGGCUGACAGGCUUCGCGGCGCGCCCUAUGCGUUCACGCGUGUAGGUCGUUGCGCCGCGUUGUCCUUGUAGGCCGGCUCAAUCCUACCGCGGUGCUCUUUGCCGAGUGUCGAGGUAGGCCGACACUGUUUACUUUGAACAAAUUAGAGUGCUUAAAGCAGCUCUGAAAGCAGCCUGAAUAGUGGUGCAUGGAAUAAUGGAACAGGACCUUGGUUCUAUUUUGUUGGUUUUCUGAAUCCAAGGUAAUGAUCAAUAAAGACAGGCGGGGGGCAUUCGUAUUGCGACGUUAGAGGUGAAAUUCUUGGAAUCGUCGCAAGACGCACUAGAGCGAAAGCAUUUGCCAAGUAUGUCUUAAUUGAUCAAGAACGAAAGUUAGAGGU
rnacentral:rRNA from 1 species